AUGGGCUCGAGCAAAACCAACUCGCAGCUGGUGUAUCUGCCCCACUCUGCCUGGGACGACGAGGAAGAUCUCCUGGACUACUUCAACUCCAUCUUGCAAGACAUGGAGGAUCUGGGCCACCGGAUGCUAUCCACCACGUAUGUCCUUGGCAAAUCCGACGCCAUCGUCUCGCCGUACAAGACCGAGGAGCUCGUCAGGGCGGCAUCUAUGUUGAUGCACAUGUCCGAGGAUUUCUACAAAGGUAUCAAGGAGGCGGAGGCGCCUGAGGGGAUCAAGGAUAAUAAGAAUGAAGAGGAGGAGGAGGCGAAGAUGAUGCGCUCUAACGGGUUCCUGAGUGUCUACCACGAUUACUUGGAAUGCCCCGAUGAGUAUGUCAAGGAGAAGGAGGAGGAGGAGAAAAGGAGGAAGCAGGAGGAGGAGCGUGAGAAGAAGGAGAAGGAGGAGCGUGAGAAGAAGGAAAAGGAGGAGGAGCACAAGAGGAAGGAGGAGAAGGAGAAGGCGUUGGAGGAAAAGAAGAAGAAGGAUGAGGAGGAUAGGAAGAGGAGGAAGGAGGAGUGGAUGAAGAUGACGGCGCAGGACAAGCACAAGUACAAAGAGGACGAGAAGAAGCGGAACAUGGAGAAGAGGAAGGAGAGGAAGGAGAAGGAGGACGAGGAGAGGAGGAACCAGGCGGAGGAGAGGAGGAACCAGGCGGAGGAGUGGAAAAGGGCUUUUGAUUAUGAGGAGGAGAUGGAAUCCACAAUGGAGUAUCUCAAAAAUCGGAUGGUUAUCGAGCAGGAUUUUUUUGAUGGCUGUCGUCGCAUGUGGGAACAUGCUCGGGGCUCCGAGAUUGGGCGGUGCGGUGCCUUCGAAGAUAAAACCUUAUUGAGCCCUAUGUUCUUUACACACUACACACCCUGUACCAUCCCAUCAUCUGCUGCGGUCACUGGGAGCACCUUGCAAAUCUACUCCUUCAGAAUUCUUGAACUAAAAGGCAACUUGAACUGGCCACUCUAUGUCUACGGCCUGAUCGCUGCUCGAGACACCGUGGACCGCAAUCGUAACAUUCUCUUCAACCGGUCGAUGUUUAAAUGUCAACUACUCACCCAAAAUGAUCCUUUUUUACGCUUGAGCGGCCCCUCUCGUGCAAUUGUAGCUCUGGACCCCGUUGACUUUGAAGUUGAACUAAAACUACAUGACGGAGUGGGAUGGGACUCCCAAGAUAGACCAUUGAUGAAUGUUAGCAACCGUUAUGAUGGUACUGAUCGUACCAUUCUCUUCCACAGCUGCUGGUGUACAGCAGAGUUAAGCCUUCAGCGACUUGCUACAACGGUCCAGGCCACUAUUGUUGGUGUUCGCGUGGUUGAAGGGGGGUGGCCUUUUAAAUAUGGAGGUCGAAUUGCUUGCUCCCAGUCUGCUGCAGAGGUUAUUGAAUCCACAUCUAUGGAAGUUGUGUUGCUGGAUUGUCAUGGUGAAGGAAUGCCUGUUGGACCAAAUGGUUACCUUCAGUUGUCAAGGAAUGUUGUUUCAGUAGAAUUACAAGGAGAAUUGAAAGUUGUCAUACAAGCUUACAUGGAAUCUGGUCGUAUUGAUGACCACGAGGGUCAUCUAUACUUCCCUCCCAAACAUUGUCAAACAAGUACACUUGAAUGCUUCAUUAGCGACUUCAAGAUGGAGAUAACCGUUGCUUGGUCCCGCCUGGUCCGAGACAGAAUGGAUGUGCUGAUAGAGGGGCACAUCGGCAAGGAGUAG
rnacentral:rRNA from 1 species